CGUCCUUCCCUCCUGUCUGUUCCCCUUGUUUUCUGCCCUUCCUGUCCUUUUGGUUCCAUCUGGUCCCUGUGUCUGUGUGCGUGUCUCUGUCUGCUCCUUGGUUGCCCCGGUAGGUUUGGUUGGGUCCAUGGGGCGCCGGGAGGCGCCCGUUGAGGGGGGGGUACUGUCACGGUUCCGCUCCUCUGUCCUGUCUGUUUGGUUGUCUCCCAUCCUCUCCUCUGCCCUGUUUGUCUGGUUGUCUCCCAUCCGCUCCUCUGCCCUGUCUCUCCCCUACAGCUCGGUGCCUGAGUGGAGUCUAGCUCCUCAAGCUGACUCCACUCAGGUAAUCAACUACCUGCACAGCUCCCGGACAGCUGAUGAUCAUUCACUAACGACUCACCUCUGCAAUAAAGACCGGCUCAGCCUUCCACUCCCUGCCAGAGCGUUAAACAAGAACCACGCAUUCAGCUGUCCGGGAUCCCACGCCAUCCUCCUACCCCUCCGGCUCUCCCCGACAAACCUUCACCAGUUUCUCCUGCCUGGACCCCCACUCCUGCCUGGACCCCCACUCCUGCCUGGAACCUCCUGCUCCUACACCCUGGUUUUCCCCCACCUAGCCACCAUUUUCACCCCCUACAAUAAACCACUUGCAUUCAGCCAGCCCUGGUAGUGUGGUUUUCUGCUCGGGUCCCCCUGCUCAGUUCGUGACAGAAAGAGAUGAAAACAUGCAUUACCUUUAAUAUAGCAUGGAGACAAGACUCUGGUGGAAUUAUGUAUAUUCUUCUAAUCUUUUUCAGAAAAAAUGUGAAAACAUGCACAAAAAUCAAUCUGAACACCGUUACAAGAAGAAAUGCGAAAAGGAAGUAAAACAUGGAGCAUCAACAGUAAUAAGGUGCUCAAAGCAUUGAAAUAACAUGACAAGCAAACCUGAGAAGUAUUGCAAUCUUUUUUAUGUUUAUGUUGAUCUGGAUGAAGCCAUUCUUCCCUAUGAGUUAACCUUCAGGAUGUAUUCUCACUGAGCCUGUCAUAUGAGAGUUUCAUGACCUGAGCACCAGUUCAACUACUGCACAUUACGUAAAUUGUCGUCAUUAUUGUUUUAUCAUCCUUUAACAUUUAACGGAAAGCAGUUCACAAAAGUGACAGGUAUUCACCUGUGGCAAGCUUACUGACAUGUUAAGUCUUGCAUUAACACUAUCUUCCUGGCAUGCUACCCUUUGUCACUCUGUUUUUAUUUUUUCAUGAAUGCCAACUCAAUAACUGCGUGCCGAGGUGUGGUGAGAUCCAGCUGCAGUGUAUUGUGAAUGUGUUUGGAGAGAGUGCAUGCAUAUACAUGCAAGCACACGCAAUAAAUGCCAGGUUUUGCUUGAAAGAGAGUCUGAAUAUGGAGGAGAUGCCUUUGAGAAGAGAUACGUUUUUUACUGUUUGUCGGAUCAAUGUGUGGAACUUUUUAACCCACAUAACUUUGGAAAUGGAUCAUUUUCAAGUCAAGUUGAAGUGCUACUCAUGAAUAAUCCGCUGCUUGUCCUUGGGUUUUAUGUUUUACUGUAUCUGUGUACUACUUGUAAUUAAAGAUAAGACCACAGAAAAUGGCAAAUUACAGGUCAGUAAUGAGAAAUGCAAUGCAAAGAUUAACACCUUAAUGUAGACGUCCCCCCUUGCGGAAGUUUUAAUGUUUUCAUUCUUCACUGACUGACAGAGUCAGCUUUUUAUGGACUUGUUUUUCCUACUGAUUUAUAUUUUGCACUUGAGCUCCACUUUCUCUGUCAGGAAUGCACUUACUGUCUUUUUAGAUUCAGUCCCAAGAUUGUGUCUUUUGUGAACAUGUCAUCAAAUGGAAAAUUUCUAGUUGCCUUGCACAUCAUUCUGAAUAAAUCUCACACAUUCAACAUGACAUAAAAAGGAUCUUUGAAAACUUGGGGAUCUGUAAUAGAAUUUCAAACUGUGUUUUGUUUUUAUUUAUUUAUUUUUACUUUUGUUUUGAGUGUUUGAACAAGAUUUGGAUGGACAGCAUAAGAUUGUAAUUACCAACCCACUGGUGGAACACUGUUUGUUACUAGUUCAAAUGUCAAUGCAUCACUGUCACAUUAAUUAUUGCUGCUCUAACAUUGAAAAGUGGCAGAAUCUCACAAUUUUUCUUCAGUGAAAUUUACUGAUAUAUUUUUGAGCCGCACUAUUGCUGUUAGCUCCUCAUCACGAGGGUGUUGCAGGUGGAGAUGGAACAUCACUUGUACUGAAAUGCAUCCUAAUAGCUCAAUCACACAUGCACACCCACACACAUUCAGGACAUUUGAUAUGAGACUAAUACUGGGAAACCAAGGCCUUGAGGCAGCCUUGGCAUUUCAUGGAUCUGAGAGACAGAUUGAGCUCAGAUGGUUCAGGAUUUAUGAUGCGAGGCGAGCAACCUGAGGGACAAGCCAGCUCCUCCCUGAGCUGGCAGCCACUAGUGAUGGAGAGAUUUACAGUCAGGAUAUUAAAGGUGAUUGCUCAUAAACCAUGGGAAAAGAAAAAUGUACAUAUAAAUGCCAUAUUCUUGUAGACAACUGAAUUAAAAUGUAGGAACUCCUAGAUUGUGUUCUAUCUUGAAAUUUCAGAGAAAACAAAACAUAUGUGAACAAUGACCAUAAGUCAAAUGUUAACAGAGCUAUGAAUCCCUAACUAAAGACCUGUGUGGUGUAUAGUUGGCAAAUCAUGAUCAAGACCUAUAGAAAGUAUGUAUAACAAAGGUGGUUUGUGUGGUCUAUGGUGUUUGCCCACUCUUAGUGCCAUUGUAUGUACAGUAAAUCUGGAAGAGGUUGUCUUUUCAACAAACUGUCAAACCCCUAUGAAAUAUGCAUACGCUGCACAGGUCUGCAGCGCAGUGCUGUGUUUAUCCAAUGCUAAUGAGCGUGGUUAGCCCUGCAGAAAGAGUUCAUGAUUGUCAAUACAGUGUUUGUACUGGCUCCAUGCACCUUCUCCAUGCUUUGUUAAUGUGGGAUCAGUAUAUUAUCAUUAAAAUGACUGUUUUUGUGGACGUAUAGUCCAAUAAAGUCAGAUUUGCGUG